rnacentral:rRNA from 2 species
UACGGAGGAUGCGAGCGUUAUCCGGAUUUAUUGGGUUUAAAGGGUGCGUAGGCUGUUAUAUAAGUCAGUGGUGAAAUAUUCGGGCUCAACCGGGAUACUGCCAUUGAUACUGUAUAGCUGGAAUAUGGUUGCUGUGGGUGGAAUGUGUGGUGUAGCGGUGAAAUGCAUAGAUAUCACACAGAAUAUCGAUUGCGAAGGCAACUCACAAAGCCAUUAUUGACGCUGAUGCACGAAAGUGUGGGGAUCAAACAGG